rnacentral:rRNA from 1 species
GACGAACGCUGGCGGCGUGCUUAACACAUGCAAGUCGAACGGAAAGGCCCUGCUUGCAGGGUGCUCGAGUGGCGAACGGGUGAGUAACACGUGGGUGAUCUGCCCCUUACUUUGGGAUAAGCCUGGGAAACUGGGUCUAGUACUGGAUAGGACCAUGCUGUAGGUGGUGUGGUGGAAAGAUUAGUUUCGGUAAGGGAUGAGCUCGCGGCCUAUCAGCUUGUUGGUGGGGUAAUGGUCUACCAAGGCGUCGACGGGUAGCCGGCCUGAGAGGGUGGACGGCCACAUUGGGACUGAGAUACGGCCCAGACUCCUACGGGAGGCAGCAGUGGGGAAUAUUGCACAAUGGGCGCAAGCCUGAUGCAGCGACGCCGCGUGGGGGAUGACGGCCUUCGGGUUGUAAACUCCUUUCAGCCAUGACGAAGCCCUUGUGGUGACGGUAGUGGUAGAAGAAGCACCGGCUAACUACGUG